rnacentral:rRNA from 1 species
UACAGAGGGUGCGAGCGUUAAUCGGAAUUACUGGGCGUAAAGCGUGCGUAGACGGUAGCGUAAGUCAGAUGUGAAAGCCCCGGGCUCAACCUGGGAAUUGCAUUUGAGACUGCUCUGCUCGGGUGCGGAAGAGGGAAGCGGAAUUUCCGGUGUAGCGGUGAAAUGCGUAGAUAUCGGAAGGAACACCAGUGGCGAAGGCGAGUCUCUGGACAUUUCCUGACGCUGAGGCACGAAAGCCAGGGGAGCAAACGGG